UGAGAUGAUCUCUGCCUGGGGAUGGGGGCACAUUGAUGGAAGUGAGCAGGCGAUCUGAGUGCAGAGGCACAGAAGUCAUCAGGCGGAGGCUGGGAAGCAGGGCUCUCCCAGGUAGUAAGAACAUCCUGCUUAAAAGCCCAGAAAGUAGGACAACAGGGGCACGAUGAGAAGGCACCACCUACAUCAGUAACUGAAUUAGCCAAAUAUUCAGAAGAA
rnacentral:lncRNA from 10 species